CAGCCGCUCUAUAAGAAAGCGUGCGCUGAAGUGCUCGGCCUUUUACAUCCGGGAAGCGCCGGGCUUAGGUUACGAGGUUGAGGCACGUUGUAUUUUGUGCACUAUGGUGAUAAUUGAGGCAGAAGUUUUUGGCCUAGUUAAGAUGCAGGAGGUUCAGGGAUCUUGUAGUGAUCGGUCUACGACAGCUUUGGAAACCUCUAGGUUCGAAAACCUGAGGUAUUCUUUUGAUCACGCGGCGGCCACGUGCAACCCUGGCGCUGAGUCAGAAGUCGAGCGCGCACGGGUCACGGGCCCUCCGACAAAGGAUCGGUGCACCUGAUGACCGGCACAGGUCGCGAAUUCUGCUGUCGGUGUCAAGUGGCCAUCUUGAAGCUACUCCGCCACUGUUAAAUAAAUAGUGACACCGAAUCCUGAUACCCGCCACAUUUAGAUCCAGAAAGAAGCUGAACUAAUCGUUCCAAUGGAUGACAGGAAACAUGACAAGAUAAUCAAGAAAUUCAAAAUGUAUGGGUGAAGUCCUGUUUAUUUAGAAUCUUGUGGUGCACUGCCAAACGUGGUUUUUUUUAAUCGCAACAUGUUGCAUAUUGAGUGGUGAAUAAUCUGUAAGCUAUCAAGUUGGUGGUCUCCGUAUAGACCAGAAUAUUACUUCGGCGUAAGUAUGACAUUUAGUAGAGAAUAAGUGAGUGCUUGCUUGCUAUAAUUAAAUAAAAUGCUUGAUUUCAUCUGGAAAAAGUCGUGUUCUAAGUCACUACAGUAUUUGGGUGGGAACUACACGUGAAGCCACCUUACCCCUAAGGGACAACAGUCAUUUUUAUACCGUACAAAAGAUUAAGGCUACUACACAAGGUGAGCAGCUAAGCACUUUAUUCACACAGAUGUGCACUGAACACUUGUGUCUUUUAAAGGUCACACUUAACAUUUAACAAGAAAAAAAAAUUAGCUAUUAUCAAGGCAUAUUUUAUGAGCCAAGUAGUUUCCCGAUCCAGUCUAUUAAAAUUUCAGUAUAAAUGUUGCUUGCAUCAGCACUAUACUUUCGUUAUAAAGGUGGCCUGUGCGAAGUUUCUGUAAAGAUAAAUUUUCUCUCCUGUAUUGCACGUUUUCUCAGCCCUUGUGCAAGUGUGCACUGUCUGUACCGCUAUCAUCACUAGUUGUAAAUGCUUGAAAAGUUAUGCCUUUAUCAAAACCUUGAGCU